AGACCACACCUGAACAGAGACCAUGUAAAAAGAGCCAAGACACAGGGCAUGCUUCAGAAGUUCUGAGGAGGAUGACACCAGUGUGGGAGGUGGGACAUCCAACGGGUCUUUGGAACUGAUGGUGACUGUAUCCAACCCAACACAAUACGCUUACAAGUAAUCUACCACAAUCGACA